rnacentral:tRNA from 1 species
GGGGAAUUAGCUCAAGUGGCAGAGCGCUCGCUUAGCAUGCGAGAGGCACCGGGAUCGAUGCCCGGAUUCUCCA